UUGUUGAAGCAUAACCUGAUGAGCAUCGAUCUCUUCUUAUUUUGCUGGUUUGUGAAGCCUGUACGCGCGUUUAUGAGACCGGUGGGGAUUACUCAGUAGUCAGUCCCUCUUAGAUGAAAGAGUCCACUUUCUCCAAAUGGUAGCGAUUUUACCUUCGCCAGCUCUGAGAUACAGGCGUGGCGAGGCCAUCAAGCUGUCCGAUAGAAGCGAAGCGUAGCAUCAGACGCGAGUAGGAGAGGUAGGUUGCUGGGGUGGGAGGGAAUAGAAGAUUGUGCUGGACUUCAGGGGGAGGGUUUUGGGUUUGUUUCCGGAGAGGUGGUUAUUCAAUUUCUGCUUU
rnacentral:lncRNA from 1 species